AUUUGGUUAAGUUAGAAAGGGCGCACGGUGGAUGCCUUGACACGAGGAGUCGAUGAAGGACGGGACUAACGCCGAUAUGCUUCGGGGAGCUGUAAGUAAGCUUUGAUCCGAAGAUUUCCGAAUGGGGAAACCCACCAUACGUAAUGGUAUGGUAUCCUUAUCUG
rnacentral:rRNA from 1 species